UGAUGCCUAAGUGACUAUGGCAGAAAUACGGACUUCAAACUUGCCAAAAUAUCUGAUCACAUUAUAAAGUUAUGUUUUACAUAUCAAGGAAAACAUUAACCAGAACGGUACUUAGAAAUAUACACAUGAAAGUUUCAUUAAUAAAAGAUAUUUUUCUGGUUAAGGUUGAUUUUCACACUGUAAAUUAAACACAGUGUCUCGUUUGAACGAAAAAUCCCUAAUAUAUAAUUACGUGUGCGUUCUCGCAACAUUUUACUGUUACCGCUGGCCUAUUGAGCGUAUAGUUGUACGCAGGAUACGAGAGGUGUACAAACACUGUAACAUCACCAAUAAAGCCGGAAUAGGUCUAUUGAAUAUCUAAAUGAUUGCCGGAUAUCAGACUGCUUAAUAUCCGUGUUCCUUCUUCCUUCAGGCCGUGACUGGGAGUGGGAGGAACAAGAUGGUGGCGCCGGUAAAGUUGGCGUGAUCUAUGAAGUACACAGGGAUCAGUGGGUUCGGGUAAGAUGGUUUAAAACUGGCGACAGCAACAUGUACCGGUUUGGCGCCGACAACAAAUAUGACUUGGAAAUCUUAGGAAGGCUGCCUCCUCUAUCAGAUAGAAUCUCUGCCAACCAGCGAAGGCAAUCCAGUGAAAGGAUAGAGAGUGGCAAUACUAACGAAGGCUCGCAGGCUUGUGCCGUCCUCUGAUAUUUACAAGAUCUAUUAGAUGCAAGAUGCACGUGGGAAAACACGAUGAAAAAUAAGUUCUUUAAUUUACUAAGACUCAAAACAAGAAAUUGCUCAUAAGUCUUUCCUAUAUGAUUGGAAAUGUUAUAGAUUUGAAUUCUAUAAAGCUGGUAUGCAUUAAUUCCUCAACACUUGGCAUAGGCUGAAACAUCUGUUUUUGUUUAUUUUCCGGGUUGUAAAACUGCAAGUCAUUGCGUUAAGUGUUAUAAUUGAUGCCUCUGUUUCCAUCAAGGUUGUAUGUAGUACAGGAUUGUUCAGGAUGCAUUGCCUCAGACUUCACAUUAUAGGCCUACUCAUGUGAAACAGUAAUGUCUGGACUGAAGGAAUAUGGAUAAAAAUUGUAUUACCUUUAACAAAGAUAAAUAAUUUAUAAAUAAUAUAAACGUUUUAUUUUCGA